AUUUAAUAUGGACGAUUUCCCGUGACAGUAAAACAUAUCAUCAAAUAAUAUUUGCGUAUUAAUUUUAAUGAAAUGGUACACAGUUUAUUGUAAGGGAUAUAGAAGGGCAACGCACAUCUCUGGUAUCAUGAAAAGUGACAGUGGUUGUUAUCUUAUGCUGUUUUGCCUAAUUGUACUAAAGGAUUCUGUGUCACAGAAGAUUAUCCCAGAACAUCCUGGCCAAGCUGUAGUAGUGGGCUGUAAUGCUAGGUUGGUCUGGAAUUUAAACGGACAUAAUUAUAAAACAUCAAUUUUCAAGAAAUCACAACAGUUAUACAAUGACAGAAAAUACUACAUCGACAGAAGCCAGGAUGAUAAAGUGAUAUUAAUUAUAAAAAAUGUAACUUUGGACGAUGGAGGUAUUUAUAGAUGUCAAAUAGAUUCAACAGAUGAUGACGAAAAUAUUCAUCUUACUA